rnacentral:rRNA from 1 species
UGGGGAAUAUUGCACAAUGGGCGCAAGCCUGAUGCAGCCAUGCCGCGUGUGUGAAGAAGGCCUUCGGGUUGUAAAGCACUUUCAGCGGGGAGGAAGGCGGUGAGGUUAAUAACCUCACCGAUUGACGUUACCCGCAGAAGAAGCACCGGCUAACUCCGUGCCAGCAGCCGCGGUAAUACGGAGGGUGCAAGCGUUAAUCGGAAUUACUGGGCGUAAAGCGCACGCAGGCGGUCUGUCAAGUCUGAUGUGAAAGCCCCCGGCUCAACCGGGGAGGGUCAUUGGAAACUGGGAGACUUGAGUGCAGAAGAGGAGAGUGGAAUUCCAUGUGUAGCGGUGAAAUGCGUAGAUAUAUGGAGGAACACCAGUGGCGAAGGCGGCUCUCUGGUCUGUAACUGACGCUGAGGCUCGAAAGCGUGGGGAGCAAACAGG